CAGCCGCCGCGGUAAUACAGAGGCCUCAAGCGUUGUUCGGAUUCAUUGGGCGUAAAGGGAGCGUAGGCGGUCGGGUAAGUUGGAUGUGAAAUCCUGGGGCUCAACCUCAGAACUGCAUUCAAUACUGCUUGGCUAGAGUACUGGAGAGGUGAGUGGAAUUCACGGUGUAGCAGUGAAAUGCGUAGAUAUCGUGAGGAAGACCAGCGGCGAAGGCGGCUCACUGGACAGUUACUGACGCUGAUGCUCGAAGGCCAGGGGAGCAAACGGGAUUAGAUACCCGAGUAGUCCCUGUCUCUUAUAC
rnacentral:rRNA from 1 species